rnacentral:rRNA from 1 species
UACGUAGGGUGCAAGCGUUGUCCGGAAUUAUUGGGCGUAAAGAGCUCGUAGGCGGUCUGUCACGUCGGCUGUGAAAACCCGGGGCUCAACCCGGGCCUGCAGUCGAUACGGGCAGACUAGAGUGCGGUAGGGGAGACUGGAAUUCCUGGUGUAGCGGUGAAAUGCGUAGAUAUCUGGAGGAACACCGGUGGCGAAGGCGGCAUUCUGGACCGAUAUUGACGCUGAGGAGCGAAAGCCAGGGGAGCAAAGCGGG